AAAAUCCUUGUCCUAGAAACAACUGCCUUUGAAUACUGUUGACUGAAGCAUAUGAAGUAACAAUUAGCUCAGAGGAAGGUCCUGGGUUUGAUGAGGAUGAAACAUAAUUAACUGUAACUUAUUUCAGGUUAAGAUUGUCUAUUCUUUCUCCCUGUUGACUCAAACAAUGGGAUUUUAUGGCAUUUUCCAUAGUCUAUUCCAUCAUCAGUGUUUAAGAGAUACUUAUUGAUUUAACAGUUUUGUCCUUCUCUCAGGAUGUUUAACUGGGUGGUGAAGGUCGUGCCACAUCCUCCUGAUACACAGGAGGAUCUGGGGGAGGCGGCGAUCACGGCGGUAAACCCACAAGCCCAUUAACAUGGACUGAUAAUACACACCUCACAAAUAUCUGCGACUGUAUUUAACAGUGCAAAUAAUCUGAUUGACACUAAAUGUGUUCUGGGGUCAUGACUUACAACAAAUGCAAGUGUUUUACAAAUAUGAAUUCAAACUUUAUACACUUACUGUAACAGGCCAGUAGUUUGAAACCCCUGGCCUAGCAGUUAGCGCACAUGUUCUGACAUAUUGAGUCAUAGUGCUUAUGUGGGUAAAGCAGGUUUGAACCUAGCUUGCAACGUUUUUUUUUUAUCCUAUUCCCUUUUCUACACCUCACUAUUUCUGUCUUUCCUUUCUCUAUUAUACCUAUAAAAGUGUCAAAAUGGCCAGUUCUAAAAUGAAUCUGAAUGUUUUUAUUAUAACUUCAUUAACCAUGAGAUAUAGAAAUAAUAAAACAUAAAAUGAGACAUAAUAAAUGUACUCUCAUAAAUUAAACCUCCAAUUCUUAUACACACACACACACACACACACACACACACACAGCCAGCAUGAGCUCUUUCUGUCUGCCAGGGCUGGAGUUAUUGGCUGGAUCUCACAGGGAAUUGGAAAAGUGGUCCCGCAGCCUGAUGAGAAAUACAUACAGGACAAGACUCCAGAAUCUGAAGAAGUCACAGAGGUUUAUGAGGCAGUGAACCUCCCAGAUCAGGAGCCUUUGCCACAUAUACCAGUAGUAGAACUGAUGUCAGAAGACGAGGCAUCUGAAGUGGAACCAACCGCUCAGUUCCCUCCUAAUGUAAUGAGCUGGAUAAAGAGCGGCUUCCAGAACACUAUUCCGCACCAUGUGACCAGACCCCCAAAUUCCAGUUCUUCCACGCCGAGGUCAUCACAGUGCUCAAACAAAGGUAUUGUUCAAACUGUACGAUACAGAAAAUAUGCUACAUUUUUAAGGAUUGUAACUGUUUAGCUUCAUGUUUGGUUUGGUUCAGUUUAUUCACCUCCUCCAGAGUCAGUAACCAGCGUGACAGAGAUCGAUUCAAAAACUCCCAGGUGAGUCACGUCAAAUUUGAUUAAAGGGAUAGUUCACCCAAAAAUGAAAAUUCUGUCAUUAAUUACUCACCCUCAUGUCGUUCCAAACCCGUAAAACCUCCAUUCAUCUUCAGAACACAAAUUAAGAUAUUUUUGAUGGAAUCUCAUUUUACGUUAAACGGAGGUCGUACGGGUUUGGAACGACAUGAGGGUGAGUAAUUAAUGACAGAAUUUGCAUUUUUGGGUAAACUAACCCUUUAACUCUUUUGCAAUUGCUAUACGAGAAAAUUGGCAUAGAUGUCCACUUGAUGUUCCUCUUGUUUUCAGCAUGAUGGGUUGGAUUGUUCAGGGUCUGGGUCUUUCAAUGCCACAUCCGGUGCUUAAAAACAUAGAAGGAUGUUUGGUAAGUGAGGUGCAAUAGUUUGACUUUAUUAGCUCAGGUUUAAUAGAUAUUUCUCCAAACUGACUCCCUUUCUUUCCACCAGGAGGACGGGAAGAUUAUGCAAAAUGGUGAGUAAGAUGUUCCUCUUUCAACACUGUUUACACAGUUUUUAAUAACAAACUCAGUUUGUUUCCUGGAAACUCUAGCGGGGUUUCAGUAGAAUAUGAAUAUACAGAAAGAUCACUGCAUGGAUAACAACAUGACCUACUCUGUGAGACAUCAAAAUACAAGUAGAAAAACUUCAGGGUGAGCAGUUCUGUUGCAGUGUAGGACAAACUCGUAACUCAGUCCAUCUUCUCCUUCUGUUACAGGGGAGAGGACACUGAGAACCCUUUAAACAAAAGGAGAGAGAGCGCAACACAGCAUUACACAGUCACAGACAAAUGGACAGUGGAGACAGAUGCAUUUAAAGAAGAACAGUGACUUUGUAGCUUUCUUGAAUGACCAGGCAGCUAUGAAAAUCUACUGAAUGUAAUGCCUGACUUUCUCUGUACUGUAUAACAAAUAUAUAUUUUUUAAAACAUUUAUUUAACUUACUGUAUAACUAACCAAAAACAAAUAUAUUUUUAAUAACAUUUAUGUUUAAGUUAGACUCAAUAUUGUAUGAAUAGCUGGCAUCUCUCAGAUGGGUGUUUGUUGUUGCAGCAGUGAUCUUUAUAAACUGACAUUUAGAUUGGAAUGACUGUACAUGUCUUAAAACAUUUAUGAUCCUCAUGAGAUGUAAUUAUCGUUCAUUUUACUGCAAGUGUCCCUAAUAUGUGUUUAAAAAGUACUCAGAUGAAUGAGUAGAAAGAACACAUUAUUUUAAAAAGAGAAAACGUUGUAUUGCCUUGACUUAUAAUUGUGGCUAUACUCUGUGCCUGCUUUUCAGGCUGCUUUUAAGACAUGUACAUUACCAUUCAAAAGUUUUGGGUCAGUACGAUUUUUAUAAAAAAAAUAAAUAAAUGUUUUUAAUAGAAAUUUGUCAUGCUCACCAAGGCUGCAUUUAUUUGAACAAUGAAUUAAUUAUAUUGAACACAAAUACAGCAAAAAUAGAAAUAUUGUGAAAACCUAUUAUAGUUUAAAAUAACUGAAUUCUAUUUGAAUAUUUUAAAGAUGUCAUUAAUUUCUGUGAUGGCAAAGCUGAAUUUUCAGCAUCAUUACACCAGUCUUCAGUGUCACAUGAUCCUUCAGAAAUCAUUCUGAUUUGCUGCUCAAGAAACAGUUAUUAUUAUUAUUAUCAAUGUUGAAAACAGUUGUGCUGCAUGAUGGAAACCAUGAUAAGUUUUUUUCUGGAUUCAUUAAUGAAUAGAAAUUUCAAAAGAACAGCAUUUAUUGGAAAUAUAAACCUUUUGUAACAUUAUAAAUGUCUUACUGUCACUUUUUAUCAAUUUAAUGUAUCCUUGCUGAAUUCAUUUCUUUAAAAAA
rnacentral:lncRNA from 1 species